GCCGCGGUGGUGGAAUCGGUAGACACGCUACGUUCAGGGCGUAGUGGCCGUGAGGUUGUGAGAGUUCGAAUCUCUCCCGCGGCACCA
rnacentral:tRNA from 1 species